GUGAAACUUGAGAUAUAUAGUGCCGUGACUUGUGAGGAGUUCGUUUAUUAAUCUUUCUAGUAUUCGUUACGUUAGGUCGAAUAUAGUAUUCACAUACGGACAUACGUAUAGGGGCCGGAACAAAGACAAUAAUACAAUAUACUGUUUAAGAUGUUAUGAAUAUAAAAAUAACUUUAGAUUGAAGUCUCUCAUAUAAUUACACGCCAUUACUUUCUUCUUCGGCCACG
rnacentral:lncRNA from 1 species